UGGGGAAUUUUGGACAAUGGGGGCAACCCUGAUCCAGCAAUGCCGCGUGUGUGAAGAAGGCCUUCGGGUUGUAAAGCACUUUUGUCCGGAAAGAAAACGUCGUGGUUAAUACCCGUGGCGGCUGACGGUACCGGAAGAAUAAGCACCGGCUAACUACGUGCCAGCAGCCGCGGUAAUACGUAGGGUGCAAGCGUUAAUCGGAAUUACUGGGCGUAAAGCGUGCGCAGGCGGUCCGCUAAGACAGAUGUGAAAUCCCCGGGCUUAACCUGGGAACUGCAUUUGUGACUGGCGGGCUAGAGUAUGGCAGAGGGGGGUAGAAUUCCACGUGUAGCAGUGAAAUGCGUAGAGAUGUGGAGGAAUACCGGUGGCGAAGGCAGCCCCCUGGGCCAAUACUGACGCUCAUGCACGAAAGCGUGGGGAGCAAACAGGAUUAGAUACCCUGGUAGUCCACGCCCUAAACGAUGUCACUAGUUGUCGGGUCUUCAUUGACUUGGUAACGUAGCUAACGCGUGAAGUUGACCGCCUGGGGAGUACGGUCGCAAGAUU
rnacentral:rRNA from 1 species